AAAGGAAUUGACGGGGACCCGCACAAGCGGUGGAUGAUGUGGUUUAAUUCGAUGCAACGCGAAAAACCUUACCCACCUUUGACAUGUACGGAAUCCUGCAGAGAUGCGGGAGUGCUCGCAAGAGAGCCGUAACACAGGUGCUGCAUGGCUGUCGUCAGCUCGUGUCGUGAGAUGUUGGGUUAAGUCCCGCAACGAGCGCAACCCUUGCCAUCAGUUGCUACGAAAGGGCACUCUGAUGGGACUGCCGGUGACAAACCGGAGGAAGGUGGGGAUGACGUCAAGUCCUCAUGGCCCUUAUAGGUGGGGCUACACACGUCAUACAAUGGCCGGUACAAAGGGCAGCGAAGCCGCGAGGUGAAGCCAAUCCCAUAAAGCCGGUCGUAGUCCGGAUCGCAGUCUGCAACUCGACUGCGUGAAGUCGGAAUCGCUAGUAAUCGUGGAUCAGCAUGUCACGGUGAAUACGUUCCCGGGUCUUGUACACACCGCCCGU
rnacentral:rRNA from 1 species